AGAGUUUGAUCCUGGCUCAGGACGAACGCUGGCGGCGUGCCUAAUACAUGCAAGUCGAGCGGACUUUAAAAGCUUGCUUUUAAAGUUAGCGGCGGACGGGUGAGUAACACGUGGGCAACCUGCCUGUAAGACUGGGAUAACUUCGGGAAACCGGAGCUAAUACCGGAUAAUCCUUUUCUACUCAUGUAGAAAAGCUGAAAGACGGCAUCUCGCUGUCACUUACAGAUGGGCCCGCGGCGCAUUAGCUAGUUGGUGAGGUAACGGCUCACCAAGGCAACGAUGCGUAGCCGACCUGAGAGGGUGAUCGGCCACACUGGGACUGAGACACGGCCCAGACUCCUACGGGAGGCAGCAGUAGGGAAUCUUCCGCAAUGGACGAAAGUCUGACGGAGCAACGCCGCGUGAGUGAUGAAGGUUUUCGGAUCGUAAAACCCUGUUGUUAGGGAAGAAUAAGUACAAGAGUAACUGCUUGUACCUUGACGGUACCUAACCAGAAAGCCACGGCUAACUACGUGCCAGCAGCCGCGGUAAUACGUAGGUGGCAAGCGUUGUCCGGAAUUAUUGGGCGUAAAGCGCGCGCAGGCGGUCCUUUAAGUCUGAUGUGAAAGCCCACGGCUCAACCGUGGAGGGUCAUUGGAAACUGGGGGACUUGAGUGCAGAAGAGAAGAGUGGAAUUCCACGUGUAGCGGUGAAAUGCGUAGAGAUGUGGAGGAACACCAGUGGCGACGACUCGGUCUGUAACUGACGCUGAGGCGCGAAAGCGUGGGGAGCAAACAGGAGUAGAUACCCUGGUAGUCCACGCCGUAAACGAUGAGUAAGUGUUAGAGGGUUUCCGCUAGUGCUGCAGCAAACGCAUUAAGCACUCCGCCUGGGGAGUACGGCCGCAAGGCUGAAACUCAAAGGAAUUGACGGGGGCCCGCACAAGCGGUGGAGCAUGUGGUUUAAUUCGAAGCAACGCGAAGAACCUUACCAGGUCUUGACAUCCUCUGACACUCCUAGAGAUAGGACGUUCCCCUUCGGGGGACAGAGUGACAGGUGGUGCAUGGUUGUCGUCAGCUCGUGUCGUGAGAUGUUGGGUUAAGUCCCGCAACGAGCGCAACCCUUGAUCUUAGUUGCCAGCAUUUAGUUGGGCACUCUAAGGUGACUGCCGGUGACAAACCGGAGGAAGGUGGGGAUGACGUCAAAUCAUCAUGCCCCUUAUGACCUGGGCUACACACGUGCUACAAUGGAUGGUACAAAGGGAAGCAAAGCGGUGACGCCUAGCAAAUCCCAUAAAACCAUUCUCAGUUCGGAUUGUAGGCUGCAACUCGCCUACACGAAGCUGGAAUCGCUAGUAAUCGCGGAUCAGCAUGCCGCGGUGAAUACGUUCCCGGGCCUUGUACACACCACCCGUCACACCACGAGAGUUUGUAACACCCGAAGUCGGUGGGGUAACCGUAAGGAGCCAGCCGCCUAAGGUGGGAUAGAUGAUUGGGGUGAAGUCGUAACAAGGUAACC
rnacentral:rRNA from 2 species